GGCCUAGUAGCUCAGCUGGUAGGGCAUGCGCGUACAAAGCGUAGGCGGCGUCUAUGCGUGGGUUCGAAUCCCACCGAGGCUA
rnacentral:tRNA from 1 species